rnacentral:rRNA from 1 species
UACAGAGGGGGCAAGCGUUGUUCGGAAUUACUGGGCGUAAAGGGCGCGUAGGCGGCCUUCUAAGUCAUGCGUGAAAUCCCCGGGCUCAACCCGGGAACUGCGUCUGAUACUGGAGGGCUUGAAUCCGGGAGAGGGAUGUGGAAUUCCAGGUGUAGCGGUGAAAUGCGUAGAUAUCUGGAGGAACACCGGUGGCGAAGGCGGCAUCCUGGACCGGUAUUGACGCUGAGGCGCGAAAGCCAGGGGAGCAAACGGG